CUUUUUAACCCAAGCUAGGGCCGGCGGUGAAACCGACCCCAACUCACUCCCUUCCCUUCUUUACUCUUCCAAAGCUCCUCAAUCCCCAUUUCUCCCCUCAUAGCAUCCCAAUUACCUCUCAUUUCGAAGCAAAACAUCAACAAUCCUUCCCUCUCUUGAAGAUCUUACUAAGGUAUUCUCUAAGAAGCCCUUAAAUUCUGUUUUCUUUCAUUUACUCUUGCUCAUC
rnacentral:lncRNA from 1 species